CCGGCCCCGCCCCGCCGCCGUAUUGGGCGCGGGCUAACGAAGCCGCAGCCCCCGUGGGCGAGUGUCACCAACCCGCUUCCGGGUGCAUUCCCCUGUCCUCCAAGGGCACGUGAGGGGACGGCCUCACCUUUCCAGGCAAAAGCACACACUCUUGGAUCUAGGAAGAUGUCUUUAAUAACGUAAUUUUUAAGUGCUUAAAAGAACUCUACAGGGAACUCUACACAGUGUCUAAUGGGGAAAGGGACCCGGCCUGCCUCCCUGAGGAGUCCAUCCUGAGACCGAUCUGGAGAAGUUACUCAGAGAUAAGGGAACCGGCACGUGUGGCUCAGCUUGCUCCAUGGAGGUCCUGGGAGAGGCCUGCUGGGCCCUGAGGGUUGACACCUCUGGCCAGAGAAACACGGACCUCAUCAGGCUUGCAGCUGAAUGGCCCGCCUCCCUCUUGAGCCUUCUACAACUGUCUCAGAAGCCUCCUCGACAUGCCAACUGGAGACAGCAUUCAAUACUUUUGUUGGAGGAAAGGGCAGGGAGACCAGAAUUAAAAACAGCUCAGAAAAGACCCACCAAAACUGGCAAUCUCAGAUGCCUUUUGAGAGAAGACCUGGGCCGGGGGCUGGAGGACCAGAGACUUGCCUUUCGCUGUCUGCACUUGCCUGCCUUUUGCAUCCUGCAUCUGG